AAGUAUUAGAGAAGGUUUUGAUGCCAGCGGUUUCUGACUGCAAGUGCUCGCCUUCAACAAUCUUAUCCAUACACCUGUGAACUAUUGCAAGUGAGGGGAGAAAUCCUUUUGCUUGUUAUACAUAAACUCGUUAAUUUAAUGAAUAUAUCAAGUCGAAAGACUUAUAAUAUCUAAA
rnacentral:misc_RNA from 1 species